AGUGAACGCUGGCGGUAGGCCUAACACAUGCAAGUCGAACGGCAGCACAGUAAGAGCUUGCUCUUACGGGUGGCGAGUGGCGGACGGGUGAGGAAUACAUCGGAAUCUACUUUUUCGUGGGGGAUAACGUAGGGAAACUUACGCUAAUACCGCAUACGACCUACGGGUGAAAGCAGGGGAUCUUCGGACCUUGCGCGAUUGAAUGAGCCGAUGUCGGAUUAGCUAGUUGGCGGGGUAAAGGCCCACCAAGGCGACGAUCCGUAGCUGGUCUGAGAGGAUGAUCAGCCACACUGGAAUUGAGACACGGUCCAGACUCCUACGGGAGGCAGCAGUGGGGAAUAUUGGACAAUGGGCGCAAGCCUGAUCCAGCCAUACCGCGUGGGUGAAGAAAGCCUUCGGGUUGUAAAGCCCUUUUGUUGGGAAAGAAAAGCAGCAGGUUAAUACCCCGCUGUUCUGACGGUACCCAAAGAAUAAGCACCGGCUAACUUCGUG
rnacentral:rRNA from 1 species